rnacentral:lncRNA from 1 species
AUGAGAUGUUGUGAGACUGAUGGGUAUUUAAGAUCAGGUGGGAGAGCACCAGGGUCAUUGCAAGCCAAUGAAUGAGCUACUUUGAGGUCUGCAAAGCCAUUUAUAUUGCUCUCUAUGAUAUUUGCCUAGUCAUUUAACCUCCGGGUUUCAGUUACUUCAUCUGUAAAACGACAGUGUCGAACUAUAUGAUCUCCGGGGAACUUUGCAGCAUUAAAAUGUUGUUAUUCUCUUUGGCUUACUUUUAAGGAAAGGGAUAAAUCCUUUUGGUUGAUAAAAUAUCAAGAAAAGAAGUUCACAUCUCACAAGUGUCAAUGCAGAUGGAUUUGUGCAUACUCACACGCACACGUAAGUAGUGUUAUAAAGAUUAUCAUGAAAAUAUAUAACUGGAGUGAGUAACAUAGAAUUGAAGAGAAAUCCAGCUGACAUAAUAUAUAUAUAUAUAUAUAUAUAUAUAUAUAUAUAUAUAUAUAUAUAUUUUUUUUUUUUUUUUUUUUUUUUUUUUUUUUUUUGCAGCAUGAAAGAACGUGAACACUUUUACACAGAGAGUCUUUUGGCCAAAGGCAAGGGGAGGUCGCAAUUUAUGUCCCAGUUUGGACAAUAAAUGAUGAAGUCACCCCAUUUAAGAUACAUAGCAAAUGCAAGUAUAAACUUCAUUUCAAUCAAACUACACACUGUUAAAAAUAUUUACAACAUAAUUGGGAAAAUUGAACACUGAUUAUCUGUUUGAUAAUGUUAUGGAAUUAUGGUCAAAAUUUUGAGGUGAAAUUAUGUUGUGAUUGUAUUUUUAAAAGUCUUAUCUUUAGAUAUUUGUAGGUGAAAUGAUAUGAUUCCAUGAAUUGACUUAAAAAUAAUCCUGUGUGUGGUGGGUGAGUGGAUAACAAUACAGGUAGCACAAGAAUUAUAAUUCGUGAAGUUUAUAAUUGUUAAAGCUAGUGAUGAGUUCCU